rnacentral:misc_RNA from 1 species
UGCGUGGCAACCUCACUC